AGUCGUAGUUCAUAAAUAAGGAAAAAUCCAAAAUCGAUCAAAUUAUAAUUGUCUGAGUGAAGAUGUGAGAAUUGUUUUGAGUACAUUACUACAGUUCAUCAUCAGAAUGAAGUCAAGAUUUUUGGAUUCAGAAUGAAAUAAAUAUUCAAGAAUAACAACAACAUUCUCUCCAUUGAUUUUCCCAUUUAGAUAAAACAGUUUGUUUCGUUUCCAAUUGAUUGUUUUCGUUUCAGGAUCUAGAAGUAUUGUUAGAACCGUUAGAAUUUGAGUAAGAAUUGCCAUUCAAAUCAUAGGAUGGAUUGAAACAUUUGAUUUCCCAAUCAAGUUUUACGAAAUAUGGCGUUCACAAAUAUUGAAAAUGACUACUAAAAACUUAUUGUUAUUAUAUAAACAUGUAUUUCAAUAUGAAUUGAUCCUUUGAGACUUCUCCUCAAAAGAACAAGUGAUUGUUGAUCACUUCACGAUGAAUUGAAUUUAUCAGAACGACCCUUGAAGAGAAUUCAAUUUGAGAGAGCAACCUCGGAGCACGCAGAACAAUUCAAGGUUAGAUGAGCGAAGGUUAUGUCAAAUUUUACUUUUCCGUAGAGAGUAAAUGAGCAGGACUUAAAAAAGCAAAUCAUUUGAAACUAUUUAAGUGGAUGAAAAUUGUGAUGUGGUCUGUAGAAACAGAUUCCAGUGGAUUUUGCCAGAUAUCGAAUAAUGAGAAUUGAUUCUUCUACGCUGCCACUUUUGAGAAGUUAUACUAGGAUGGAAAAGAAAAUCAUUUGAAGUAUCCUGUGCAAAAUGUUUAGAUCUUGCAAGGUUUAUUUCCAAACAUAUGUAACAUCUUUAAUAACAGAGGUUUAUGCUACUGUAAUAAUAAGAGUCACAUUUCAAGAAAAAUGUAUAAUACUGUUAUAUUCUUCAAUCAAUAAAUAUUCUUACAUUGCUACCUUAUUGCUAUGAUUGAUAAACAGUGAACAUUAUUUGAAUCUAUCAUGAAAAAUUAAAUGUUAAUUUUCUGCAUUACAUGAAAUAUGAAAAGCCCUCUCCUU